AAAGCAUACAUGCCAAGAGAUCGAAUACAUCAUCAUAAAAAUUCUCCAAAACAUAAAUAGAUCCAGGAUAGACAAUCUAUAAUAAAUCAUAAGACAACAUCCUAGAUCAGAGUCUAUCCUACGACUCUACAGAACCGAUAACGGAGAUAACUCCCUCUAUCCAAGCAAUCACCGAGCAACUCACCAAAGCAACUAAUCCUGCACUUCGUCUACCACUGGGGGUAAGCUUUACAUUAAUCAUAAUCAAUGAAAUAAAUUUGAACAUAAAUGAAUCAUUUCAAGUUCUAAAUAAUUAACAUGGAUAUUUAAUCUCAAUAAUAAUUCAUAAUGAUAAAUCCAAAUAUCACAACCAAUCACUCACAUCCACAAGUAUAUCAAUUAUUUUCACAAUUAGGACUCAUGCCACAAUAUGAUAUGUCCCUAGACACGACACAUAAAUGCAUGCGGUACCGUCGUCACCAACGUCUAGGUCGUCACCCCAUGAUGCCAACAGAACACCAUAAUCACCUCAAUUGGAUAUAAAAUCCGUCACGAACAGUCAUGAAUGCAUGAACAUAUAACUCGACAACAAUGCAUAUGUUCACACAAACCAUUCACCACAUUAGAUAUAAAAUCCGUCACCAUCAGUCAUGUAUGUAUAAACAUAUAUCUCAACAACAAUACAUAUGUUCACACAAACAAUUCACCACAAUCUCACCAAACACUUAGCAUAUAUGCAUUCACCAACAAUUCAUCAUCACAUGUCAUAUAUGCACUCACCAACAAUUCACCAUACAAUAAUCUUAUUAUGAACAUCAUAUCCAACACUCAACAAGUCACUCACAUAACUUCAUUUAACCAUACAAAACCAUUCACCAAAGAUUUACAAGUUAAACGACUUUAAAGAAUCAUUAUCAACAAAGUCCGUAUCAAGUGGCAAAAUGGCCAACAUUGAUAAUUUUCAAAGCUAGGUAACUUAUUCAAGUUUUAAAACCUACAACUCCAUCUUAAUCAAUCAUGUAGUCAUGAGCUUAAGCCACUUACGAACUAUUAAACAUUAGUUCAAAGAUUAGCUUAAGUUCGUGAGAAAAAACCCAAAGUUCACAUUUCCACAUUCCCACCCGAAAAAUGAAGUUUGACAUGAUUAAGACAUUAAACCACUAUACAAGCCUUGCCUAAGUCCACAUGGACUGUAGACUCAACUUGUAAUCCAUUUUAGUUCACAAAAUUCCAUUUCCGGCAAAAUCCGAAAAUUACCAAAAGUUCGAGUUUCAACCAAAAUAGAAAAUCCCAAAUUCGAAUGAGUAAAUCAUGUUCCAGUAGGUUUAGGAGUACAAACAGAGAUUAAACAAGUUGAAAGAAGCAUUUUACAAAGUUUGGAUUGGCCUCCUAAAGCUCGGAACGAAAAUCAAAGGUUGCUGAAACUGGGCUUGUUUGCUUAAGUGACCACCUUGUUCGCUUAAGCGAACAAGUUCCAAUAGCUUACAGUAAUGUUCGCUUAUUGUUCGUUUACCGGUUCGCUUAAGCGAACAGUCAUCAGUUCUGCAGAAAAAUUACGGGUUUCAACCCUUUUUCACCCAAAAAUCCUAAUUUUGAUCUCCCAAGGUACAAAUAUGUUUCCAAAGUUUGUUUACAUGUCAUAGUACUUAAAAUGGCUCUCAAGAACACAUCAAACAUUACAACAAUGCCAUUUAAAUACAAUUCACCAAUUCAACCCAUUUCAACAACAACAACUCAUUUAUCAUCAUCAAUUCAUGAUUUAUGAACACCGAAGUUAUGAAUCAUCAACAACAAUAUCUCUACAACAUCAAUUAAACAUGAUCUCAUCGCAAUUCAACAAUAAGAUAGCACAAUUCAACAUUUGGAGCACAAUUCACAAUAUAUCAUUUUCACAUAUUAUGAACAUGCAAUUUCAUUAACAACAAUUCAAUUAUCACCAAUUUCAUGUACUCAAACAUAACAUCAUAAUAAGAGCACAAAUAUCAUAUUUUAUAGUAUAUCCUACAUCUUGCUCAUUGAUAAUUGACUUGAGACUAACCGCUUACACUUGAAUCCAACAAUUGUUUCUCAAGUGUGAAUGAUAUUAGUAAUCGGUUGACAUCUCAUCGACAUGUUUUUUGGCUACUUCAAUCAAGCAAUCCCAACUUUCACAAACUAUCAAAAUCCUUUCACAUGCUUAUUUACUAGUACAUGUCCUUCUUGUUUUUAAAUUAGAUGCUUUUCCUAGUAUUGUUUUCUGGUGACCCACUUUUCAAUAUAACGCAAGUAGGUGAGAACGUGUGUCAUGCAAAUUCUAG
rnacentral:lncRNA from 1 species